rnacentral:rRNA from 1 species
GAGUUUGAUCCUGGCUCAGAUUGAACGCUGGCGGCAUGCCUUACACAUGCAAGUCGAACGGCAGCACGGGAGCUUGCUCCUGGUGGGCGAGUGGCGAACGGGUGAGUAAUGCAUCGGGAACGUAUCCUGGAGUGGGGGAUAACGUAGCGAAAGUUACGCUAAUACCGCGAUAUUCUGUGAGCAGGAAAGCGGGGGGACCUUCGGGCCUCGCGCUCUUGGAGCGGCCGAUGUCGGAUUAGCUAGUUGGUGAGGUAAAGGCUCACCAAGGCGACGAUCCGUAGCAGGUCUGAGAGGAUGAUCUGCCACACUGGAACUGAGACACGGUUCCAGACUCCUACGGGAGGCAGCAGUGGGGAAUUUUGGACAAUGGGGGCAACCCUGAUCCAGCCAUGCCGCGUGAGUGAAGAAGGCC